rnacentral:rRNA from 1 species
CUAUACAUGCAGUCGAGCGGACAGAUGGGAGCUUGCUCCCUGAUGUUAGCGGCGGACGGGUGAGUAACACGUGGGUAACCUGCCUGUAAGACUGGGAUAACUCCGGGAAACCGGGGCUAAUACCGGAUGGUUGUUUGAACCGCAUGGUUCAAACAUAAAAGGUGGCUUCGGCUACCACUUACAGAUGGACCCGCGGCGCAUUAGCUAGUUGGUGAGGUAACGGCUCACCAAGGCAACGAUGCGUAGCCGACCUGAGAGGGUGAUCGGCCACACUGGGACUGAGACACGGCCCAGACUCCUACGGGAGGCAGCAGUAGGGAAUCUUCCGCAAUGGACGAAAGUCUGACGGAGCAACGCCGCGUGAGUGAUGAAGGUUUUCGGAUCGUAAAGCUCUGUUGUUAGGGAAGAACAAGUACCGUUCGAAUAGGGCGGUACCUUGACGGUACCUAACCAGAAAGCCACGGCUAACUACGUGCCAGCAGCCGCGGUAAUACGUAGGUGGCAAGCGUUGUCCGGAAUUAUUGGGCGUAAAGGGCUCGCAGGCGGUUUCUUAAGUCUGAUGUGAAAGCCCCCGGCUCAACCGGGGAGGGUCAUUGGAAACUGGGGAACUUGAGUGCAGAAGAGGAGAGUGGAAUUCCACGUGUAGCGGUGAAAUGCGUAGAGAUGUGGAGGAACACCAGUGGCGAAGGCGACUCUCUGGUCUGUAACUGACGCUGAGGAGCGAAAGCGUGGGGAGCGAACAGGAUUAGAUACCCUGGUAGUCCACGCCGUAAACGAUGAGUGCUAAGUGUUAGGGGGUUUCCGCCCCUUAGUGCUGCAGCUAACGCAUUAAGCACUCCGCCUGGGGAGUACGGUCGCAAGACUGAAACUCAAAGGAAUUGACGGGGGCCCGCACAAGCGGUGGANCAUGUGGNUUAAUUCGAAGCAACGCGAAGAACCUUACCA